UGACAUUGAUGCCUCGUCGUGCAUUGGGUUGCCUCGUCUCCCUGAUUUUUAUGAAUCUGAUUAUUUGACCACCUCUGGGUCUAAUGCCAAUACAACUCAAUAUGGGUUAAAUUUUUUAUAAUGAAAACUCGUAUAUUCCUAUGCCUGUAGGGACCAUAUCUUGGUGUCCUGACUCCGGGGCUACACAUUAUGUCUGUUAGGAGGCUACCGCUUUGAAC
rnacentral:lncRNA from 1 species